UAGUCCACGCCGUAAACGAUGAGUACUAGUUAUUGGAGGUAUUGACUCCUUCAGUGACGUAGCUAACGCGUUAAGUACUCCGCCUGGGAAGUACGGUCGCAAGACUAAAACUCAAAGGAAUUGACGGGGGCCCGCACAAGCGGUGGAUUAUGUGGUUUAAUUCGAAGCAACGCGCAAAACCUUACCUAGGCUUGAACUCCCGAGAAUCCCGAGUAAUGUUGGGAGUGUCCGCAAGGAAAUUCAGUGAGAGGUGCUGCAUGGCUGUCGUCAGCUCGUGUUGUGAAAUGUUGGGUUAAGUCUCGCAACGAGCGCAACCCCUAUCUUUAGUUGCCAGCAUUAAGUUGGGCACUCUAGAGAGACUGCCUGGGCAACCAGGAGGAAGGUGGGGAUGACGUCAAGUCCUCAUGGCCCUUAUGCCCAGGGCUACACACGUGCUACAAUGGCCGGUACAAUGAGCCGCGAACUCGCGAGGGUAAGCUAAUCUCAAAAAACCGGUCUCAGUUCGGAUCGAAGUCUGCAA
rnacentral:rRNA from 1 species